rnacentral:snRNA from 1 species
CUCAGGCAGGGGGAUAUCAAAAAUCGGAACGAUACAGAGAAGAUUAGCAUGGCCCCUGCACAAGGACGACACGCAAAUUCGUGAAGUGUUCCAUAUUAAA